UUGGAGGAAUGUAUAGCGAAAGCUAAUUGCAUUUAACUUAGCUUAAUUUGUUAAGCUAAGUUAGUGCAGGAUUGACUAUGUCGAAUAAAAUUCUAGAUGGGUUAUGAUGAUGACAUUUCCUAUCUACGUGUCUUGACCAAACUACGUGCCAGCAGUCGCGGUAACACGUUAAAGACUAGUGUUAUUCAUCUUAAAUAGGUUUAAAGCGUACCUAGACGGGAAAUCAAGCCCAUGUAGGGGACUAAUUUUCUAGAGUUUAAUAUGAGGGGGCAUUAAAGUACUGAUAAGUGUAGAGAUGAAAUUCUGUGAUACAAUAUACGGCACUGGUAAAGGCGAAGGCAUCUCCUUAUGUAAUAACUGACGUUGAGGGACGAAGGCUUUGUGUAGCAAAAAGGAUUAGAUACCCAAGUAGUCUUAGCAGAAAAUUAUGAAUGUCAUAGGAUAGAUAGUUGUAUAUAUAUACAACGGUUUUUUUCUAUAAAUGAAAGUGUAAGCAUUCCACCUCAAGAGUAAUUUGGCAACAUUGGAACUGAAAUCAUUAGACCGUUUCUGAAACAAGUAGUGAAGUAUGUUGUUUAAUUAGAUGGUCCGCAAAAAACCUUACCACAAUUUGAAUAGAAUUUAUUAUUCAUACAAGCGCUGCACGGUUGUCUUCAGUUAAUGUCGUGAGAUUGUGGUUAGCUCCAUUAAAUUAACGUAAACCCUAACUUUAUUUUUACAUAGAGUAGUUCCCCGCUAGAUUGGAUUAGAUAACAGGGACUAAGACAAGUCAUCAUGGCCUUAAUAUUGUGGG
rnacentral:rRNA from 1 species